rnacentral:tRNA from 1 species
GGUGGCUCCGUGGUAGAGUGCUUGCUUUGUAUGCAUGAGGACCUGGGUUCAAUUCCUCAGCACCA